AGAACGAACGCUGGCGGCAUGCCUAACACAUGCAAGUCGAACGCUUUUGGGGCUUCGGUCCCAAAGGAGUGGCGCACGGGUGAGUAGCGCGUGGGAACCUGCCCUGGAGUGGGGGAUAACCGAGGGAAACUUCGGCUAAUACCGCAUACGCCGGGAAACCGGGAAAGAUUUAUCGCUCUAGGAGGGGCCCGCGUCGGAUUAGGUAGUUGGUGGGGUAACGGCCUACCAAGCCUGUGAUCCGUAGCUGGUCUGAGAUGAUGAUCAGCCACACUGGGACUGAGACACGGCCCAGACUCCUACGGGAGGCAGCAGUGGGGAAUAUUGGACAAUGGGCGCAAGCCUGAUCCAGCAAUGCCGCGUGAGUGAUGAAGGCCUUCGGGUUGUAAAGCUCUUUCGCACGCGAGGAUGAUGACGCUAGCGUGAGAAGAAGCCCCGGCUAACUUCGUGCCAGCAGCCGC
rnacentral:rRNA from 1 species